UUGUCCAAAAAUAAAUUCUUACAUUUGUACAUAUAACAUUACAGUGUAUAAAUGGCUUUUAUAUUUAAAUGCCCUAUUAAAUUAAUAGUUAAGUUACUACUAUUCUUGUUUUACAAAUGCAGAAAAAAUUCAAAGAUUAAUGGACUUAUUUACCCAAGGUCAUUAAACUAAUGAGUAGUGAAUCCACAUCUCCUUCCACGGAAAGAAAAAAAAUUUAGAUCAGAAAAUUGUUUUCCCAUGGGCUCUUUCUGUGGAGAUAAAUGUUUGAAACUUUGAUGAAAAUAGCUGGUGAAAUGGAUUCUUUGUAACUUCAUACCAUAAAUGGCAUCCUCUGGGCUAUCUGAGGGACAUCAGCAUUAAUGAUCAAUUAAUAUCAUUAUUUAUUUUAUUUUUAUUCUUCAAAUUAGUAUUCCGACCUCUGCUGAAGUUGUUUCCUUUUUCCUUAAACACACUUUGAUUUUCAAAAUCAUUACUGCUGAGUGGGACCCCAUAACUGGGUGGAUGAGAAUAUGGAGAUUACAGCACAGUGAAGUAAAGAUAGAAGGGUGAUUUCACCAAUUCUUCAACAAACCUCUAUCUUUUCCUGCUCAAGUCAUAGGUAAUAGAGAAGUAAACCCAGGCUUGGCCUUUUAUUUUAACUGGGAAAGCAAAGGUCUGGUUUUAUAAGACUCCUGAUUCUAUAAAGACUGACACCCUCACCAAACAAACAAAACAGAAUAACCCUUGUUGUGGAUUGAAUUAUAUCCUGCAAAAAGGUAUGUGGAAGUCCUAUCCCUCAGUCCCUAAGUAUGUGACCUCUCUGGAAAUAGAAUGAUUGCUGAUGUAAUUAGUCAGGUUAAGAUGAGGUGUUACUGGAGUAGGUUGGGCCCUUAAUCUAAUAUCACUGCUAUUUUUAUAAGAAGAGGAGAGAGAGACAAAAGGAAGAUGACCGUGUGAAGACUAAGGCAGAGAUUGGAGUUACGUGGCCACAAACCAAGGAACACCAGGACCUCCAAAGAGUGAGAAGAGGCAAGCUUUUGUGAGUGUUCAACAUUCAACCCCAAGAAACGUUCGGAAGGAGUGAUGAAGGCUGAAUACUAAAGAGUGCCAAAUCCUUGAAUGAAUGGGCAACUCUGAGCUAAUAGGCCAAGAAGAAAAAUUAAAUCACCUAAGGACCAUGAUAUUGGAAACCUGGAAACAACUAAAAGAGAAUGAGAAGGCAGAAAACUAACAGCACGCUCUCCCAUCUGUUAGUCUGUUUACCAGUGUCUCAGCAUCAGCUCAUGUAUGCCGAGGGUUUAUUCAUCCCAGCGUUAUGUGAGUAAAUUGGGAAAAUUGGUUUCCUCUGGUAAAAAACACUUACACUUCAAAGUAUUUUCCCUACAUUCAUACUCCUAAUUUUCCCUUUUUGAUCUUUACAUCUGUUGUCGUACAGAUCCAAAAGCCCCAAGAUCCUGACUUCCCCUCCAACCAUCCCAAACACAUGGUUAGUAUUUAACAUCCAGAGCUUCAUUUUCGUUUUUUACUACUUAUAAUUUUGAAUGAAACUAUCACAAGAAAUGAAAUUCAAAGAAAAGAUAAUAUCAAAUAUGUCUUUAAGACUAAAUUUAUUCAGAGUUUUAUAUUCAAAUCAAAUUGGUUUUUCUCUAUAAAAGAGGGGUUAAAUUUCUGGAGCUGUUGCCUUGGAGAAAAGUAAUAGGAAAAUCUAUAGGAAAGAAAUGUAGGAAGUCUGGUGCAGCUGAUUGCAUUCACACUGGGGAAACACAGCAGGGCUGUGAUAUUAUUACCUAUAUGAUCGCUAUAGCAUGUUUGUUCUUGGAUACCCGCAGAAGGAUAGGAAAUAUGUGUGAAGAGAAGGGAUAAGAUAAAUAUGUAAAUCUUUGUUACAAUGAUUAAAAUUACUCAGAAUUAAAAUUUGCUAUGAGUUAAUGUUUGGAUGUUUAUCUCAGCAACAAAAAGCUUAAGCUAUUUUACUUUGUAUGGAAAUCAAGUGGUUGGUCUUUCGUGGGGUGCAGGGUUGAGACAACUUCUCAAUGUUUCUUUCUCAAUUUCAAGACCAUUCUGUAAUAGUUGGAAUCAAUGGCCAUAACGCUAUAAAAGUGUAUAAUUUGAAGAGAGCAUUCUCGGUCUUCAAAUAUUUUCCCAGCAGCUAUUGGCACCUGAAAUUUUGUCAUUAAAGAUUGAUUUUAUAUAAGAGCCUUGUAAAAGUAUUUACUUACAGGAGGUUGGAGGAGGUGAUACAGAAUAUAUACAAAUUUUCUUGGUGUGUAUUUUUUUUUAUUUUGAGCCAUCUGAAUGUAUUAUAUAUUAUCUGUCAAAAAUAAA